GGGGUGUCGGGAAAGAUUUCAUCGGUAUGGGAUGGGGUCGCGUCCUAUCAGGUAGUCGGCGGGGUAACGGCCCACCGAGCCUACGACGGGUAGCCGGCCUGAGAGGGCGACCGGCCACAUUGGGACUGAGAUACGGCCCAGACUCCUACGGGAGGCAGCAGUGGGGAAUAUUGCACAAUGGGCGCAAGCCUGAUGCAGCGACGCCGCGUGCGGGAUGACGGCCUUCGGGUUGUAAACCGCUUUUGAUCGGGAGCAAGCCUUCGGGUGAGUGUACCUUUCGAAUAAGCACCGGCUAACUACGUGCCAGCAGCCGCGGUAAUACGUAGGGUGCAAGCGUUAUCCGGAAUUAUUGGGCGUAAAGGGCUCGUAGGCGGUUCGUCGCGUCCGGUGUGAAAGUCCAUCGCUUAACGGUGGAUCUGCGCCGGGUACGGGCGGGCUGGAGUGCGGUAGGGGAGACUGGAAUUCCCGGUGUAACGGUGGAAUGUGUAGAUAUCGGGAAGAACACCAAUGGCGAAGGCAGGUCUCUGGGCCGUUACUGACGCUGAGGAGCGAAAGCGUGGGGAGCGAACAGGAUUAGAUACCCUGGUAGUCCACGCCGUAAACGGUGGAUGCUGGAUGUGGGGCCCGUUCCACGGGUUCCGUGUCGGAGCUAACGCGUUAAGCAUCCCGCCUGGGGAGUACGGCCGCAAGGCUAAAACUCAAAGAAAUUGACGGGGGCCCGCACAAGCGGCGGAGCAUGCGGAUUAAUUCGAUGCAACGCGAAGAACCUUACCUGGGCUUGACAUGUUCCCGACAGCCGU
rnacentral:rRNA from 1 species